GGACCGUUAGCUCAAUGGUUAGAGCACUCGGCUCAUAACCGAUUUGUUCCGGGUUCAAGUCCUGGACGGUCCACCA
rnacentral:tRNA from 1 species